CGACGUGAGCAAUCUACCUUGGAGUGGGGAAUAACACAGUGAAAACUGUGCUAAUACCGCAUAAUACAACUGUGUCGCAUGGCAGUGGUUGUCAAAGAUUUAUCGCUCUGAGAUGAGCUCGCGUCUGAUUAGCUAGUAGGCGGGGUAAAGGCCCACCUAGGCGACGAUCAGUAGCCGGACUGAGAGGUUGGCCGGCCACAUUGGGACUGAGACACGGCCCAGACUCCUACGGGAGGCAGCAG
rnacentral:rRNA from 1 species